AUUACUUUGGCAGAUUAGUGUGUUAAAUUUAGAAUUUAGGUAAGUAUAAGUAAUAAAAUUAUAUAAGUAAUA
rnacentral:tRNA from 1 species